CAGAGGGCCAUUGUCUGGGACGGUGAUCUGUACCACUUGCUGAUUCCUGCUGGAAUGGACUUCAACAGAGAAGGAGGCUACUCACCUCAUAGUAGAUAUUUUUAGUUUCUUCUUCUCUAUGGUCUAUUUGCUUCUACAAUUCUGGAAAA